AGAGUUUGAUCCUGGCUCAGAUUGAACGCUGGCGGAAUGCUUUACACAUGCAAGUCGGGCGGCAGCAUGGACUUCGGUCUGAUGGCGAGCGGCGAACGGGUGAGUAAUGCAUCGGAACGUACCCAGUCGUGGGGGAUAACGUAGCGAAAGUUACGCUAAUACCGCAUACGUCCUACGGGAGAAAGCAGGGGAUCGCAAGACCUUGCGCGAUUGGAGCGGCCGAUGUCUGAUUAGCUAGUUGGUGGGGUAAAGGCUCACCAAGGCGACGAUCAGUAGCGGGUCUGAGAGGAUGAUCCGCCACACUGGAACUGAGACACGGUCCAGACUCCUACGGGAGGCAGCAGUGGGGAAUUUUGGACAAUGGGGGCAACCCUGAUCCAGCCAUUCCGCGUGAGUGAAGAAGGCCUUCGGGUUGUAAAGCUCUUUCGGCAGGAACGAAACGGUUACGGCUAAUACCCGUGACUACUGACGGUACCUGAAGAAGAAGCACCGGCUAACUACGUGCCAGCAGCCGCGGUAAUACGUAGGGUGCGAGCGUUAAUCGGAAUUACUGGGCGUAAAGCGUGCGCAGGCGGCUUUUUAAGCCAGAUGUGAAAUCCCCGGGCUUAACCUGGGAACUGCAUUUGGAACUGGAAGGCUAGAGUGCGGCAGAGGGGGGUAGAAUUCCACGUGUAGCAGUGAAAUGCGUAGAGAUGUGGAGGAAUACCGAUGGCGAAGGCAGCCCCCUGGGUCGACACUGACGCUCAUGCACGAAAGCGUGGGGAGCAAACAGGAUUAGAUACCCUGGUAGUCCACGCCCU
rnacentral:rRNA from 1 species